AGACUUGUAACGCCCCAAAAACCCAAAUGUUAAAAAUUUCAAGAAUGACUUAUUUUUAUAUGGUGUGACAUUAAGGUAACUGAGUUAGCGAACUUGGUUUUAAAUACAAGUUAGUAUGUGAAACGAAAUAAAUGGCAAGUUUUAAAAGUUUGAGGGGUUAAAAGGAAAAUGUGUUAAAUAAAACACUUUACAAAAAAAAAUGUCAGUAACUUGGGGGGUUCUAUGCGUGCGAUCGAGAGCAGGGCCAAAGGGAAGAGCCAAAAACCCUAACAACCAAAAAUCAUCAAAUUGAUAAGGAGAUCAAGGGAAAAAUCGAAUGCAUGAGUCUGGAUACUCUUUAAUCUAAGUGUAUUGAUCAUAAGGAUAGGAACCCCAAAUUGACAUGGACUCAAAUAUGGAAGGCUAACGGAUCAAGAGGAAAUGAGGAAGUUAUGCACAAACUUGGACGCACGAGGUAAACCCUCAAUUCAGGCGACUUGGAGAAUCGGAGCGAGCGCGUGUUCAUGUUAUGUCAUACCAAACGCUUCCGCUAGCUUGUUCAAAUGUUUUUAGUCCAAAAUUUGUUGUAUUGG
rnacentral:lncRNA from 1 species